rnacentral:rRNA from 1 species
AGAACGAACGCUGGCGGCAGGCUUAACACAUGCAAGUCGAACGCUCGUGGCAACACGGGAGUGGCGGACGGGUGAGUAACGCGUGGGAACGUGCCUCAAGGUACGGAAUAACUGCGGGAAACUGCAGCUAAUACCGUAUGUGCCCCUUAGGGGGAAAGAUUUAUCGCCUUGGGGAGCGGCCCGCGUCGGAUUAGCUAGUUGGUGGGGUAACGCCUACAGGCUUCGAUCCGUAGCUGGUCUGAGAGGACGAUCAGCCACACGUGGACUGAG